rnacentral:rRNA from 1 species
AUACGUAGGUGGCAAGCGUUGUCCGGAUUUAUUGGGCGUAAAGGGAGCGCAGGUGGUUUCUUAAGUCUGAUGUGAAAGCCCACGGCUUAACCGUGGAGGGUCAUUGGAAACUGGGAAACUUGAGUACAGAAGAGGAAUGUGGAACUCCAUGUGUAGCGGUGGAAUGCGUAGAUAUAUGGAAGAACACCAGUGGCGAAAGCGACAUUCUGGUCUGUUACUGACACUGAGGCUCGAAAGCGUGGGGAGCAAACAGGAUUAGAUACCCUGGUAGUCCACGCCGUAAACGAUGAGUGCUAGGUGUUGGAGGGUUUCCGCCCUUCAGUGCCGCAGUUAACGCAUUAAGCACUCCGCCUGGGGAGUACGACCGCAAGGUUGAA